rnacentral:rRNA from 1 species
AUUGAACGCUGGCGGCAGGCCUAACACAUGCAAGUCGAACGGAGUGGCGGACGGGUGAGUAACACGGGGGAACGUGCCCUUUGGUUAGGAACCACUCAGGGAAACUUGAGCUAAUACCGGAUGCCAUUGGAGCUGGCGCGGUCUGAUUAGCUGGUUGGUGAGGUAAAGGCUCACCAAGGCGACGAUCAGUAGCUGGUCUGGGAGGAUGAUCAGCCACAUUGGGACUGAGACACGGCCCAAACUCCUACGUGAGGGAGCAGUGGGGAAUCUUGCGCAAUGGGCGAAAGCCUGACGCAGCCAUGCCGCGUGAAUGAUGAAGGUCUUAGGAUUGUAAAAUUCUUUCACCGGGGACGCGGUACCCGGAGAAGAAGCCCCGGCUAACUUCGUGCCAGCAGCCGCGGUAAUUC